rnacentral:misc_RNA from 1 species
UAUUCAGUAUUGUUGAAAAAGGUUUGCAUUCAAUUGAAUAUUUAUUUUGUGUGGUAUUCUCAUAAUGUUGUCAUCUUCACUGCGAGACAGAGGGUUGUUGACUUGUAUUAGUAACAUACAAGUGGCAUCUUGCUUAAAAGGCAUGAUCUGAAAAUUUUAUUUCCAACUUUGUUAUUUGAUCUCCUUUUUCUUGAGUUGCCUUUUAAAGUUGAGUUGGUCAGUGACUUUGGACUUGUUUAGCAUCUUUUACGGUUUUACCUUUUAAUCCUUUCAAGAACUAUUAGCAGAAUGUUUACUCUUUCUUAUUUCUUAUGUAUUCUUUUUUCCCCUUCCUUUCAGUUGAUGGAUUUUGCCCAUGGUA